rnacentral:rRNA from 1 species
GGGUACAGUCGUGGCAGCGGCGGGGGUAAGACUGAGGGGGCUAGGGUUGUUCGGAAUUACUUGGCGUAAAGCGCACGUAGGCGGACAGUUAAGGCAGGGGUGAAAUCCCGGGGCUCAACCCCGGAACUGCCUUUGAUACUGGGUGUCUUGAGGUCGAGAGAGGUGAGUGGAAUUCCGAGUGUAGAGGUGAAAUUCGUAGAUAUUCGGAGGAACACCAGUGGCGAAGGCGGCUCACUGGCUCGAACCUGACGCUGAGGUGCGAAAGCGUGGGGAGCAAACAGGAUUAGAUACCCGGUAGUC